rnacentral:rRNA from 1 species
GACGAACGCUGGCGGCGUGCCUAACACAUGCAAGUGGAGCGACGAACCAGGGCUUGCCCUGGGGCAAAGCCGCGAACGGGUGAGUAACACGUGGGUAACCUGCCCCGAUGACCGGCACAACUCGAGGAAACUCGGGCUAAUACAGGAUGUACUCCUCGCACGUAAGUGCAAGGAGUAAAGGGAGAUUCGGCCUCCGCUCCGGGAGGGGCCCGCGGCCCAUUAGCUAGUUGGUGAGGUAACGGCGCACCAAGGCAACGAUGGGUAGCUGGUCUGAGAGGACGAUCAGCCACACUGGGACUGAGACACGGCCCAGACUCCUACGGGAGGCAGCAGUGGGGAAUCUUGCGCAAUGCGCGAAAGCGUGACGCAGCAACGCCGCGUGGGGGAAGAAGGCCUUCGGGUUGUAAACCCCUUUCAGGAGGGACGAAGGUAGGGCAGUGAACAGCUGUCCCUACUGACGGUACCUCCAGAAGAAGCCCCGGCUAACUUCGUGCCAGCCGCCGCGGUAAGAC